UAUAAUAAAAAAAAUAAUUCCUCCAUACUUUUCCUCCAACCCUUAACUUUACCAUCAACACUCCACCUUUACAACCCAAACCUUCUUUUUCCUAACCUCUUCUUCAACCUAAUAACACACAAACCUGCAUUGUUAAAAAAAUAAAAAUAAAAUCAUCCGUACUUUUUUCUCCAACCCUUAUUUUCACCAUCAACACUCCAUUUCUACAACCCACGCCACUCAAAACCUUAUCACUAUCGUUUUUUAUUUUAUUUUUCCAAAAAAAGAAAAUACCAUCCUCCAUUGUCAAAAAUCUCCUUCACCCUCUCUAAUUCAUCUAUGACUUCCAAAAAAGCAAAAACAAACAAGGCAUCAUCCUCUCAAGCACAAUCCUCCAUUGGGUCAAGAAGAAAAAUAGGCGCUUGAACUAUACCGAAGUACUUGAGUAGACGUGAAUUUUAAUAUCGUGUAUCUUGGGUAAAGAUUACUAGAGAAUUUGGAUGUGUGUCUGCUUUGGCCAAAGGUUCCUAUAUUCAUAAUCCUUGUUUCAGAUAGAGAUUUAUGGCCAUCACAUUUUUUGGGUGAGGAGAGAGUGCAGGUGUUGCUAGGCAGAGUGAGCUUUUCUUUGUGCAUUGAUUAAUAAGUCGCCUAUUAACACUAGAUCCUACAUAGCAAAACACUAUCACAAAGUUGCAAAGUUAGGCAAUGGGGAUAUUGUGGUUGGUGGAUUAAUCACACCUAUUGUAAAGUCACUUGGCUAUGAGGGAGACAUUUUCUGAGUUACCUGAGGUUCUAGGCAACACAAAAAUUGAAUUGGAACCUUGUCAUGCCAUGCAGUUCUUCACUAAAGUUAAUAAUACAAACAAAUUUUGAUUCAUGGAAAUUCUUCCAUCUCUCUGCCCAAUCCUGCAAGAACUACCAUCAGGGAUAAAAAUAACUGGUUGUCUAAUCUUGAAGAUCCAAAAGAGCCCUCCCGAUCUAAGCCACAAGAGCUAUUGCACCACCCUCACCAACAUCACAAUGAUUAUCCAUCAUCAUCUCAUCAUGAAAGACUGUAAUUUCAAGAAUGGAGCGCUAAUAUAGAGAUUGAACAUAAGCGCCAAGGUCAAGUGUUGGAUGGCUUCAAUGCCAUGGUGACCGCAAUGUACAACUACCACAUCUCUCAAGACCACUUUCCACCAUCGCCAUAAUCUUUUUGAGCUUUCUUACACCUUUUGUAACUAUUUUACUUUUUACAUUGAGAACAAUGUUUGGUCCAAGCAUGGGGGAGUAGAUUUUCUAUUUUGCUCAGCAUGUUAAUUCUAUUUUGUUUUUAAAUAAAAAAAUUGAAAAUUUUAUCAUUGCUU